rnacentral:rRNA from 1 species
GAUGAACGCUGGCGGCGUGCCUAAUACAUGCAAGUCGAGCGAACAGACGUGGAGCUUGCUCCUCUGACGUUAGCGGCGGACGGGUGAGUAACACGUGGAUAACCUACCUAUAAGACUGGGAUAACUUCGGGAAACCGGAGCUAAUACCGGAUAAUAUAUUGAACCGCAUGGUUCAAUAGUGAAAGACGGUUUUGCUGUCACUUAUAGAUGGAUCCGCGCCGCAUUAGCUAGUUGGUAAGGUAACGGCUUACCAAGGCAACGAUGCGUAGCCGACCUGAGAGGGUGAUCGGCCACACUGGAACUGAGACACGGUCCAGACUCCUACGGGAGGCAGCAGUAGGGAAUCUUCCGCAAUGGGCGAAAGCCUGACGGAGCAACGCCGCGUGAGUGAUGAAGGUCUUCGGAUCGUAAAACUCUGUUAUUAGGGAAGAACAAAUGUGUAAGUAACUAUGCACGUCUUGACGGUACCUAACCAGAAAGCCACGGCUAACUACGUG